rnacentral:rRNA from 1 species
CCUACGGGAGGCAGCAGUAGGGAAUCUUCGUCAAUGGGCGAAAGCCUGAAGCAGCAACGCCGCGUGAGUGAAGAAGGUCUUCGGAUUGUAAAACUCUGUUGUUAGAGAAGUAAAUGCGUGAGAGUGAGGGUUUACGUUUGGACGAUAUCUAACCAGAAAGCCACGGCUAACUACGUGCCAGCAGCCGCUGUAAAACGUAGGUGGGGAGCGUUUUCCUGAUUUAUUGGGCGUAAAGGGAGUGUAGGCGGUUUUUCAAGUCUGUUGUGAAAGCGUUGGGCUUAACCGGUGAAGUGCAUUUGAAACUGGCAGUCUUGAGUGCAGUAGAGGUGGGUGGAACUCGAGGUGUAGCGGUGAAAUGCGUAGAUAUAGGGAAGAACACCAGUGGCGAAGGCGGCUCACUGGACUGUAACUGACGCUGAGGUUCGAAAGCGUGGGUAGCAAACAGGAUUAGAUACCCCAGUAGUC